rnacentral:rRNA from 1 species
GAUGAACGCUAGCGGCAGGCUUAAUACAUGCAAGUCGAGGGGCAGCAUGAUUGUAGCAAUACAAUUGAUGGCGACCGGCAAACGGGUGCGGAACACGUACACAACCUUCCAACAAGUGGGGGAUAGCCCAGAGAAAUUUGGAUUAAUACCCCGUAACAUAGCGAUGUGGCAUCACAUUGCUAUUAUAGAUUUUUCGCUUGUUGAUGGGUGUGCGGCUGAUUAGAUAGUUGGCGGGGUAACGGCACACCAAGUCUACGAUCAGUAGCUGAUGUGAGAGCAUGAUCAGCCACACGGGCACUGAGACACGGGCCCGACUCCUACGGGAGGCUGCAGUAAGGAAUAUUGGGCAAUUGACGCGAGUCUGAUCCAGCCAUGCCGCGUUAAGGAUUAAAGUCCUCUGGAUUGUAAACUUCUUUUAUAAGGAACGAAAAAAGGCUUUUCUAAGUCGUCUGACGGUACCUUAUGAAUAAGCACCGGCUAACUCCGUGCCAUCCGCCGCCGCUGUAA